GAGGUGUGAGGAUAGCUUGAGCACAGGAGGUUGAGUUUACAGUGAGUUAUGAUUGUGUCACUGCACUCCAGCCUGAGUGACAGAGCAAGACCCUGU
rnacentral:miRNA from 1 species